rnacentral:rRNA from 1 species
CCUACGGGGGGCAGCAGUAGGGAAUCUUCCGCAAUGGACGAAAGUCUGACGGAGCAACGCCGCGUGAGCGAAGAAGGUCUUCGGAUCGUACAGCUCUGUUGUUAGGGAAGAACAAGUACGGGUGGAAAUGACCGUACCUUGACGGUACCUAACGAGGAAGCCACGGCUAACUACGUGCCAGCAGCCCCGGUAAUACGUAGGUGGCAAGCGGUGUCUGGUUCUAUUGUGCGUAAAGCGGGCGAAAGCGGUCUUUUAAGCCUGACGUGAAAUCUUGCGGUCCAACCGAAAUCGGUCAUUGGAACGUGGAAGACUUGAGUGCAGAAGAGGAAAGCGAAAUUCCACGUGUAGCGGUGUAAUGCGUAGAAAUGUGGAGGCAAAACAGAGGCGAAGACGGCUUUCUGGUAUGUAACUGACGCUGAGGGGCGAAAGCGUGGGGAACGAACAGGAUUAGAGACCCCGGUAGUC